UACGUAGGGUGCAAGCGUUAAUCGGAAUUACUGGGCGUAAAGCGUGCGCAGGCGGUUUUGUAAGUCUGUCGUGAAAGCCCCGGGCUCAACCUGGGAAUUGCGAUGGAGACUGCAAGGCUUGAAUCUGGCAGAGGGGGGUAGAAUUCCACGUGUAGCAGUGAAAUGCGUAGAGAUGUGGAGGAACACCGAUGGCGAAGGCAGCCCCCUGGGUUAAGAUUGACGCUCAUGCACGAAAGCGUGGGGAGCAAACAGG
rnacentral:rRNA from 1 species